UGGGGAAUUUUGCACAAUGGGGGAAACCCUGAUGCAGCGACGCCGCGUGAUUUAGAAGGCCUUCGGGUUGUAAAAAUCUUUUUUACGGGAUGAAAAUGACAGUACCGUAAGAAUAAGGUCCGGCUAAAUACGUGCCAGCAGCCGCGGUAAUACGUAUGGACCGAGCGUUGUCCGGAAUCAUUGGGCGUAAAGGGUACGUAGGCGGCCUAGUAAGUUAGAAGUGAAAUAAUAUAGCUCAACUAUAUAAAGCUUUUAAAACAGCUAGGCUUGAGAGAUGGAAGGGAAAGUGGAAUUCCUAGUGUAGCGGUGAAAUGCGCAGAUAUUAGGAAGAAUACCGGUGGCGAAGGCGACUUUCUGGUCAUCAUCUGACGCUGAGGUACGAAAGCGUGGGUAGCAAACAGG
rnacentral:rRNA from 1 species